rnacentral:rRNA from 1 species
GAGGAAUAUUGGUCAAUGGGCGAGAGCCUGAACCAGCCAAGUAGCGUGCAGGAAGACGGCCCUAUGGGUUGUAAACUGCUUUUGUAUGGGGAUAAAGUCAAUCACGUGUGAUUGUUUGCAGGUACCAUACGAAUAAGGACCGGCUAAUUCCGUGCCAGCAGCCGCGGUAAUACGGAAGGUCCGGGCGUUAUCCGGAUUUAUUGGGUUUAAAGGGAGCGUAGGCUGGAGAUUAAGUGUGUUGUGAAAUGUAGACGCUCAACGUCUGACUUGCAGCGCAUACUGGUUUCCUUGAGUACGCACAACGUUGGCGGAAUUCGUCGUGUAGCGGUGAAAUGCUUAGAUAUGACGAAGAACUCCGAUUGCGAAGGCAGCUGACGGGAGCGCAACUGACGCUGAAGCUCGAAGGUGCGGGUAUCGAACAGGAUUAGAUACCCUGGUAGUCCGCACAGUAAACGAUGGAUGCCCGCUGUUGGUACUUGGUAUCAGCGGCUAAGCGAAAGCAUUAAGCAUCCCACCUGGGGAGUACGCCGGCAACGGUG